UUUUAUACAACUGUGUGAUUUUAUGAAAAAUGGGUUUAAAUGGUAAAUUGUUAUGUUUUAAGGGAAAUUGUGAUUUUAUAAAAUGAUUUUAUAAAUUUUCUGAAAAAUCGAAUAUUGGUUUUGAAAAUAGAGUAAUUGGAGACUGCUAGUUUGUGUUGCAAAUUUAUGGUUCUGAAUUGAAUGGCUUAUGACAAUAAAUGAGCAUGAAUGGCUAAACUGAUUUUGGUGUUAUAAUUAUUUAUACUGUGUAUUCAGCCUUGAGAGGCUAGGUUGCGAUAAAUUGUCAUGUCAUGCUAGAAUGAAUUUUAUUGAUUGGUGGAUUAUAUACUAAUUAUUCACUGCAGAGGGGGUUCCGUGGACCAGCCUAUUAGAGGGGCACGGUAAACUCCAUUAUAUUCUUACCUUGAACGGAGAGGCACGUAGGGUAUCUCGUAGGGUAAAGUUUAGGGUUCACUUCACGUUAAACCACCACGUGAAGGGGAACUCAGCCAAUGCCAAGGAACGACUGUAUUUUUCUCAAACUAAAAAUAUAUUUUAAGUGUAUACAAAAAUUUUAACAGCCUUGGCGGACUCGGUUGGAUACCCUGCGCAAGGUAUCAUCGAGUAUGAGUUUUGGCAUGAGCCAAAGUUUUAAAAAAUUCAUAAGCCAAGUUGAUUACUCGAUUUAUAUGGAUUGAUUUUAUUUGGUUAAAAUGAGUUGAAAGGUAAUGAAAUUACAGUAUGAUAACUUAUUUUAAUUGUCUCCAUUUACUCGACUUUAGAUAGUUUAUAUGGUAUCUGUUUACUCACUGAGAUUUUAUAAUCUCACCACCCUCAUUUCCUCACAUUUCAGGCUCGAGGAAUUCCAUAGUUAGCUGACUUUGAUAAGGACUUUCAUUUAGACUCGAAUCGAUAAAAGCUAUAGGUUUCCAGCUUCCGAUGCAUUUUGGUUAGAGGUGGACCCACGUGUCACUGUAAAAGAAAUUUUAUGCUUUGGUUAUUUGCUUUAUGGUAUAUAUGAAUAUAAUUAACUUUUACGCUAUAAGAAUUAUGUACCGAUAGUUUUAUGAAAAUUAUUUUAUAAGAAAAUAAUUUAUUUUAUUGAAUAUUUUUAUUAUAUUCAAAU
rnacentral:lncRNA from 1 species